rnacentral:rRNA from 1 species
AUUGAACGCUGGCGGCAUGCUUUACACAUGCAAGUCGAACGGUAACAGGCCGCAAGGUGCUGACGAGUGGCGAACGGGUGAGUAAUGCAUCGGAACGUGCCCAGUCGUGGGGGAUAACGCAGCGAAAGCUGCGCUAAUACCGCAUACGAUCUAUGGAUGAAAGCGGGGGACCGUAAGGCCUCGCGCGAUUGGAGCGGCCGAUGUCAGAUUAGGUAGUUGGUGGGGUAAAAGCUCACCAAGCCGACGAUCUGUAGCUGGUCUGAGAGGACGACCAGCCACACUGGGACUGAGACACGGCCCAGACUCCUACGGGAGGCAGCAGUGGGGAAUUUUGGCCAAUGGGGGCAACCCUGAUCCAGCAAUGCCGCGUGCAGGAAGAAGGCCUCCGGGUUGUAAACUGCUUUUGUACGGAACGAAACGGUCCGGGUUAAUACCCUGGGCUAAUGACGGUACCGUAAGAAUAAGCACCGGCUAACUACGUGCCAGCAGCCGCCGUAACAC